GUACUUUAUUAUAUAUGUAAUAUGCCCAACAUCUGUAUAAUGUGUUUAUGUAACAUAUCAUAGACACAGAGUGUCUACAGGCAGUGCACAGGUGGAACAGAAGAAACAAAUGACCAGAGGUGUGCACAUUGCCCAGAAGGGCCAGCACAACAACAUCCAGCCAGAAGUUUCAUUCAAUAAUGAUCCUUCCGCAGGUUCACCUACGGAAA
rnacentral:misc_RNA from 1 species